rnacentral:rRNA from 1 species
AUUGAACGCUGGCGGCAUGCCUUACACAUGCAAGUCGAACGGUAACAGGCCGCAAGGUGCUGACGAGUGGCGAACGGGUGAGUAAUGCAUCGGAACGUGCCCAGUAGUGGGGGAUAGCCCGGCGAAAGCCGGAUUAAUACCGCAUACGACCUGAGGGUGAAAGGGGGGGAUCGCAAGACCUCUCGCUAUUGGAGCGGCCGAUGUCAGAUUAGCUAGUUGGUGGGGUAAAGGCCUACCAAGGCAACGAUCUGUAGUUGGUCUGAGAGGACGACCAGCCACACUGGGACGGAGACACGGCCCAGACUCAUACGGGAGGCAGCAGCGGGGAAGGUUGGACAAUGGGCGCAAGCCUGAUCCAGCAAUGCCGCGUGCAGGAAGAAGGCCUUCGGGUUGUAAACUGCUUUUGUCAGGGAAGAAAUCUUCUGGGUUAAUACCUCGGGAGGAUGACGGUACCUGAAGAAUAAGCACCGGCUAACUACGUGCCAGCCGCCGCAGUAAAAC